AAGCCAUGAUAGGGACAUGCAUUGCAAAUAUCCUUGUACCUAUCCCAUGCCUCCCAAAAGGUCUCAUGAUCGUGUUGAGUGAAGAGUAAGAGUUCAUGUCUCAUGCU
rnacentral:snoRNA from 1 species